rnacentral:rRNA from 1 species
AUGAAUUUCCCGGCGCGUUGGAUAGACUGGGUCGCCCUGCCUCUCUCCUCCGCGUCCUCCACCUGCAUGCUAAACGGAGACCCGGGCCCUGCGACCCUUCAUCAGCGGGGGCUGUGGCAAGGGGACCCCCUUUCGCCGAUCCUCUUCAUUCUGGCGAUCAACACCCCUCACCGACUAUUAGAAGCAGCUCAGCAUGCCGGGGCCAUCGCCCCCCUG